UACGUAGGGUGCAAGCGUUAAUCGGAAUUACUGGGCGUAAAGCGCACGUAGGCGGAUUGUUAAGUCGGGGGUGAAAUCCUGGAGCUCAACUCCAGAAUUGCCUUCGAUACUGGCUUUCUAGAGGCUGGAAGAGGUUAGUGGAAUUCCCAGUGUAGAGGUGAAAUUCGUAGAUAUUGGGAAGAACACCAGUGGCGAAGGCGGCUAACUGGUCCAGAUCUGACGCUGAGGUGCGAAAGCGUGGGGAGCAAACAGG
rnacentral:rRNA from 1 species